CACUAAAUUGGGUGGGGGUGAAGGGAGUGCCAAUUUCAUGAUCAAAUUCAUUUGGUAGGGGUAAUUGAUAAUUGUGGCCUUUUACCACAAUUAUAACAUAGUAAUUGCUAUAAUUAUGUAAUUGUUAUAAUUAUGUUUAUUAUAUACAUAGUAAUGGCCAACUUGCAUGUUAGACGAAAUUUUAAUCUAAGCAGAGAAAAGGGAAUCAAACACCACAGCUAAAAAGAACAUAUUGAAAUUAGUAAAAGUGCAAAAUUUGGUUGCGAAAUGUUGUAAAGCUUGGAAAAUAUAGCCUUGCAAAGUUUGCAU